UGUAGCUGAGCUUUGUAUUGUGACUAUUUUAGGAAUGUGUAUAUAAGUUACGUUACAUCAAAACAGAAAAAUAAUUGCAUAAAUGCGUUUCCAAAACAAUAGAUAUUGACACGAUCAGAGUGUUAAAUAGCGAAAUUUAUUAUUGGUUAUCAGUCGAUUGUUGUACAUUUUCAAUUAGAUUAAUAGUGUGUAUGUGUAAUAACUCGUGUGUUGCUUAUGUUGUGUCCUGUAACCUAGCACAUCAACAAUAACUAAAAAUCGAUAAAAUAAGUACCAGGCUGAAUGGAAUAAGUCCUGGAGGAUCGAUAUGAUCGACUAAAGCAUUGAAGACUGUGCAGAUCCCUAGUCUGAUCGUCGUAUAAUUAGAUAUAUAUAUAUAUAUGGUAAAGUUGUCGAAUUUGUUACGUGAACGACGACCUCCGCUACAAAACAGAAGGGACUACAAUGAAGCAACAUGCUGGAAUCCCUGAAUAUCUACUAAAAUUUUAAGAUCAGACUACCAGUUAAAACAUCAUUUCAGGUGUCCUUGAAACUCACACUUCUCUAGUUAAACUGUAUAGCUCUAGAAAUCAACCUGAGCUCUCAUGGCAUUCAAAGAGAAAACAGUUCAGCUCUCACCAAGCAAAUCAAGGACAAAGCUUCAGCAGUCUUGCAUCUUGAAGAUAACUAAUCACAGUUAAUUUGAUCCCUCUAUCCUAGUCUCUCUACCAGUGAGGAUUUGAUCAUUUAUGUAUGUAUUCAUGUUCAGCUUUCCCUUAAAUAAAUCUAAUGUUAAAUAUUCAA